rnacentral:rRNA from 1 species
UUCGAUUGUUUGAUCCUGGCUCAGGAUGAACGCUAGCGGCAGGCUUAACACAUGCAAGUCGAGGGGUAGAGGAAGCUUGCUUCCUUGAGACCGGCGCACGGGUGCGUAACGCGUAUGCAACCUACCUUUUACAGAGGGAUAGCCCAGAGAAAUUUGGAUUAAUACCUCAUGGUAUAUAUCAUUCGCAUGUUUGAUAUAUUAAAGUUCCAACGGUAAAAGAUGGGCAUGCGUCCUAUUAGCUAGAUGGUAAGGUAACGGCUUACCAUGGCAACGAUAGGUAGGGGUCCUGAGAGGGAGAUCCCCCACACUGGUACUGAGACACGGACCAGACUCCUACGGGAGGCAGCAGUGAGGAAUAUUGGACAAUGGGCGCAAGCCUGAUCCAGCCAUGCCGCGUGCAGGAAGAAGCAUCUAUGGUGUGUAAACUGCUUUGUACGGGAAGAAACACUCCUUCGUGAAGGAGCUUGACGGUACCGUAAGAAUAAGGAUCGGCUAACUCCGUGCCAGCAGCCGCGGUAAUACGGAGGAUCCAAGCGUUAUCCGGAAUCAUUGGGUUUAAAGGGUCCGUAGGCGGUUUGGUAAGUCAGUGGUGAAAGCCCGCAGCUCAACUGUGGAACGGCCAUUGAUACUGCCAGACUUGAAUUACAAGGAAGUAACUAGAAUAUGUAGUGUAGCGGUGAAAUGCUUAGAUAUUACAUGGAAUACCAAUUGCGAAGGCAGGUUACUACUUGUGGAUUGACGCUGAUGGACGAAAGCGUGGGGAGCGAACAGGAUUAGAUACCCUGGUAGUCCACGCCGUAAACGAUGGAUACUAGCUGUUGGGGGCAACUUCAGUGGCUAAGCGAAAGUGAUAAGUUCCC